CCCCUCUCAGGGUCGGACUUGGAGAGUUUCCAGUACUCUUCCAGUCUCAGCUACGGGAGGGAGAGUCAAACAGAGGCAUACUCAUUCCAUUCCUAGCUUAGGUAGUGGCUAGUGAGUGGAAGGCAAACUGCUACAAGU
rnacentral:snoRNA from 1 species